CCUACGGGGUGCAGCAGUGAGGAAUAUUGGUCAAUGGACGAGAGUCUGAACCAGCCAAGUAGCGUGAAGGAUGACUGCCCUAUGGGUUGUAAACUUCUUUUAUAUGGGAAUAAAAUGUUCCACGUGUGCGUUUUUGUAUGUACUAUAUGAAUAAGGAUCGGCUAACUCCGUGCCAGCAGCCGCGGUAAUACGGAGGAUCCGAGCGUUAUCCGGAUUUAUUGGGUUUAAAGGGAGCGUAGGUGGAUUGUUAAGUCAGUUGUGAAAGUUUGCGGCUCAACCGUAAAAUUGCAGUUGAUACUGGCAGUCUUGAGUACAGUAGAGGUGGGCGGAAUUCGUGGUGUAGCGGUGAAAUGCUUAGAUAGCACGAAGAACUCCGAUUGCGAAGGCAGCUCACUGGACUGCAACUGACACUGAGGCUCGAAAGUGUGGGUAUCAAACAGGAUUAGAUACCCGAGUAGUC
rnacentral:rRNA from 1 species